UACGUAGGUGGCAAGCGUUAUCCGGAUUUAUUGGGCGUAAAGGGAACGCAGGUGGUCUUUUAAGUCUGAUGUGAAAGCCUUCGGCUUAACCGGAGUAGUGCAUUGGAAACUGGGAGACUUGAGUGCAGAAGAGGAGAGUGGAACUCCAUGUGUAGCGGUGAAAUGCGUAGAUAUAUGGAAGAACACCAGUGGCGAAAGCGGCUCUCUGGUCUGUAACUGACGCUGAGGUUCGAAAGCGUGGGUAGCAAACAGG
rnacentral:rRNA from 1 species